CAUUUUGCAGCGUGGAUAGAGGGAUUCAAAAGUAUUUGGAAUCAGGAGUCAUCUGGCAGCAUCCCUCCUUGUUUUGCUCAUUGUUAAAGUUAUGACUAUUGUGUGGUGUGAGGAGUGGAAGAUAAAGGCAUCAUUCAUCAUCUUACACCUAAAUCAAGCAAGCUCCAUUGAUGGUGGAUUCUGCAGGCACGUGCGGCGAGCGUGAGGAUAAAGAGAAUAGCAAA